AGGUCUGCUCAUGGGAACGUCGGCGCACAGGUACUUUUUCCUUGGUGGCUUCUGGUGGCGGGAGCACACAUCGGGUUUGUUCCGUGACCAUUGCGGUAUUUCUCUGCAUAUCUUCUGUCUUGUUCACUGUUAUUGCUGUUUAUUGUUGUUAUCAUUGCUACUGUUGUUGUUCAGAUUGUU